rnacentral:lncRNA from 1 species
GACAAUCUUGGCUAUUCAUUUCCCCAAUCCAACGAUCCUCAACUCACCAUCUUUCCCCCUUAUAACUGUCUGAGAGAGAUCCCCAUACUCCCAUGAACCCUCACAAACCUCUCACCCCCAUCACUCGUCUCUCUCACACCCUCUCACCUCCGCCGUCCGCGACCCGUCGAAAAUCGCCUACGGCGGCGGCGCCACUCCAAACCACCCCAAAUUAACAAUCUGUAAUCCCCAGCCUCCCCUCAUCACUAAUAUACCAUUAGUUUUUCCAAAUUCCCCACCAAACUCGCCCAGUUUCAGAUCUAAAAUUCAGAAAAACCCUAAUCUUUCCCUCUUCUGAUUUCAUGGGCAAUAUCAACUCGAUUUGGUCUAAAACUUACGUUAAUCGAUUGCCCUUGACAAGAGCAAUUGAUUGACAUUAAUUUUAGCCGAUUUCGAAGCCACCGGAUCCCGACUAAGUCACCACUGACCGGUCUGCUUCGUGGGAACCUCCAUAAUCUUGAUUCUUUUCUUAUUUUGGUAAUUUUCUUAUUCCUAGUAGUGUGGCUCUACUGUUAUUUCUGUCUUCCUCAUAUUUUUUAUUCUUUGAAUAAUUCUGUAUUCAGUUGUUAGUUCUUGUUUGAUAGCAUGUUUAGUUUAAAGUAUAAUUAUUCAAAUUAAUCCGUUUUAGCAGAAUUUAGUAGCAUUUUUUUGUGUGGAUUUGGUUAAUUCAAGCAUGUUUCGAUUACCCGUUAAAAUUAUUUUAAUUGUCUAAGAAAUUAUCUAGCUGAAUCCAGAAUCAUUUUGAUAAUCAUGUUGUUCAUUUAAACUUUCCCAAUUAACACCUUAAGUAGUUUGAUAAUUCAGGUUUAGUUGGUAUUUAGCCUAGUGUAGUUUAUUUUAGCUAAUCAUGGUUCAAUUCUGAUCUAGGAAAAGGAGCAGUAAUUCUAGAUAAAGGGAGGGGUAAUUACAGAAGGUUGGAAGGGCAAUGUAGUCUUUGAAUUUGAAAGAAUCUUAGGCUAUAACUGAUUGAGAAAGUUCUAGAAUAGAGAUAAGGGACUAAAAUGUAGCAAAACAACUGAAUUAGAUCAGAUUUUGGGGUUAAAAGGGUUACAAUCAGAAGUAAAAAAGCUGAACAAAUGUGAGUAAAUAUCUGAAUGGACAGCUGUCCAAUUCAGUUUUAAAAAAUGCAUUUUCUCCUUAUUUUCAGGGACUGACACCCUCCAGAAUGAUUCCCUCACCCUUAUCUAUAUAAGGUCUAAAAUUCCUUCACUCAUACACACGAAAUGAUUGUAUUUUUUCAGAAAUUCCAUUCCUUUCCUCUUCAUUGUUGAGUAGAAAUUUUUUUUGGGAUUCCAGCCUUAGAGUUUUAGAGAAAAAAUAUAUUAAAAAAAUAAAAAAAUAAAGCUCUUUUUUUCAUCUUUUCUGGGAUCUGAAGUUGGUUUUCUUGGCUCUGUUUGCUGCUGGUUCUUUAUUCUUGUUGGUUUUCUGCUCCUGCAUUUGUUCCUGAUGCUGCCUUUUUUUUCAUUUUCAAUUCCAGAGACUUAUUUUCUAUUUAUUUUGGUUCUGCUAUAAACAGGUAUGUGCUACACAACUGCAGUACCUAUUUAAGUAUAUGAACAAAGUUUGAGUGUCAAUAAAUGUGUUAGAAGCUUUCUAUGUAUGCUAAUUGCUUGCUUCAGCUACACAACUACACUAAGUUCUUCUUUGAUUUAGUUUUCCUAUUCAAUAUUAAAAGUGUAGCUUAAACAAGAAUUGGUCUUACUUAGUUUCAUAUUGAUUAGAAGUGAUUCUCUAAUGAUGUACAUGUCAAAAUUUCUCAAAUGCUUUCUGGUUUUGUCAUAUGAAAUACUUGCCAAACAUAUAUUAAUCUAAGGUUGUUUUUAGUUUGAGGUCUCAAAGGAUUCAAGUUGGGAAUGGACUGUUGAGAUUUGGUGACUUUGGUAAAGCUGAGUUUUGGUUUAUGAGUUACCCUGCUUAGUGGUUUGUAAUGCUUUAUGGCCCAUUUAAUCCUUCAUACUCUCAUGAAUAUCCAACUUUAAUGUCUUUUGUGAUGUAAUUAUUUUGGAUAAAACUGGUUUGAAUGCAGUCUGCACAUAGAUAUAUUUGUGUUUCAGUUAGUUCAAUUCUCUUAGAAUAGCAAGCUUUGUAAUUUAUUCUUCAAAACAGUUAUUUUUUCCUCAUUUAUCCUAUUGUUGUAUGAUUUGUU